rnacentral:lncRNA from 1 species
GAAAAAAUCCUGGGUUUUUGUGGUGUAGUUUGCGUGUGUUGUACGUGCCCACACAAAAGAGGGACAUGGCUGUGAUUUGGUACAACUUUGUGUGUAACCCAGUUUGCAAGAGACAUCGAGAUAAAAACAUUGUGUGUGUGGUGACACUGUGGUCUUUGUGUGUGACUGUUGUGUGACUUUUGUGAUCAUCUAUAUUUGGGUUGGGCUGAGAAAGAGAAACUACUGUGUAGGGGGCAUAAUGAGUGUAUGUUCAGGAGAAAGACAUCCUGGCGGCAUUGGGAUUUGGGCUUUGAAGGAUGUCUAAGAGUUCAUUAGGCCAGACAGAAUGCUCGUGAGGCCAGAGGGAAAGAUCCGGGGAAUCCUGCCUAUCAGCCAACGGGGGUGAGGAGGCUGUAGUGGUGGGUGACCAGGGUGAAUUUGGAAACAGAACCUACUGCCAGCAAGGAAGAGGAGGAGCAACUGACUGCAACCCUUGCCCAGGAUUCCAAAUUCUUCAGUGUGGAGGACUCAGGGAGGUCGAAAAGCUCCUUGAGUGCAGCAGUUGGGAGCAUGGUGAAGGGGGGAGGGUCUGGCCGUGUCUGCAAGGUGACCAGACCUGAAGGUCCAGAGCCCCCCUCCAUCAUGGGGUACUUAAACUAUCAGCUGCCCUGGCCUGGUGUCCGAUUCCUGACUAUUCCUCAAGUGUCUUCCUAAGAAUCAUAGCCUGAUGCCUGCAGAGACAUUGAAGAUCCAGGGACACACAAAAAUGAAACCCAGUUAUCCUGGCACUCCACUUGCCAGCAAUGUGAUUAUGUUCUCUUCUCUCUGAGCUCCCGUUUUUGCCUCUGUAAAAUGGUGUUCAUAAUUCUUACCCAC